GGACGAACGCUGGCGGCGUGCUUAACCCAUGCAAGUCGAACGGAAAGGCCCUGCUUUUGUGGGGUGCUCGAGUGGCGAACGGGUGAGUAACACGUGAGUAACCUGCCCUUGACUUUGGGAUAACUUCAGGAAACUGGGGCUAAUACCGGAUAGGAGCUCCUGCUGCAUGGUGGGGGUUGGAAAGUUUCGGCGGUUGGGGAUGGACUCGCGGCUUAUCAGCUUGUUGGUGGGGUAGUGGCUUACCAAGGCUUUGACGGGUAGCCGGCCUGAGAGAGUGACCGGCCACAUUGGGACUGAGAUACGGCCCAGACUCCUACGGGAGGCAGCAGUGGGGAAUAUUGCACAAUGGGCGGAAGCCUGAUGCAGCAACGCCGCGUGCGGGAUGACGGCCUUCGGGUUGUAAACCGCUUUCGCCUGUGACGAAGCGUGAGUGACGGUAAUGGGUAAAGAAGCACCGGCUAACUACGUG
rnacentral:rRNA from 1 species